rnacentral:rRNA from 1 species
UAGGGAAUCUUCCGCAAUGGGCGAAAGCCUGACGGAGCAACGCCGCGUGAGUGAAGAAGGAUUUCGGUUCGUAAAGCUCUGUUGUUAGGGAAAAAUGAUUGUAAAGUACCAUAUACAGUAGAAACGGUAUCUAACCUAAAAGNCCGCGNAAAAUUGCGUGACGCGCGGGGUANNNNGUGGGUGACGUCGUGUCCCGUUAAUNUUGGACCCCGCNAACCGCGCGCAGGUGGUUUAAUAAGUCUGAUGUGAAAGCCCACGGCUCAACCGUGGAGGGUCAUUGGAAACUGUUAAACUUGAGUGCAGGAGAGAAAAGUGGAAUUCCUAGUGUAGCGGUGAAAUGCGUAGAGAUUAGGAGGAACACCAGUGGCGAAGGCGGCUUUUUGGCCUGUAACUGACACUGAGGCGCGAAAGCGUGGGGAGCAAACAGGAUUAGAUACCCUGGUAGUCCACGCCGUAAACGAUGAGUGCUAAGUGUUGGUCUCAUAAGAGAUCAGUGCUGCAGCUAACGCAUUAAGCACUCCGCCUGGGGAGUACGACCGCAAGGUUG